rnacentral:lncRNA from 1 species
UAGCAUUGGAGGAGCCGGUGCCUGAUGACCGCUAUCACGCCAUCUACUUUGCGAUGCUGCUGUCUGGCGUGGGCUUCCUGCUGCCAUACAACAGCUUCAUCACGGACGUGGACUACCUGCAUCACAAGUACCCAGGGACCUCCAUUGUGUUUGACGUGAGCCUCACCUACAUCUUGGUGGCGCUGGCAGCCGUGCUCCUGAACAACGUCCUGGUGGAGAGACUGACCCUGCACACCAGGAUCACCGCAAGCUACCUCUUAGCCUUGGGCCCUCUCCUUUUUAUCAGCAUCUGUGACGUGUGGCUGCAGCUCUUCUCUCGGGACCAGGCCUAUGCCAUCAACCUGGCUGCUGUGGGCACCAUGGCCUUCGGCUGCACAGGUAGGAACUGGGGCCCAAGGGGGAGGCCCUGAGUGCCCACUUCCAACCCCAUCCCACCCCAGCCCUGGUCUCCU